AUUUCAAAUCAAAAGCUACCUUUAAUAUUUUACUGCAAACAAUACUUAAAGACUAAAUUGUAUCCAUUUAGAGUAAUGCUUUUGAAAAAACAUGAAGCACUUUAGCAUUUUAAAAGAACUUCCAUAUUUUGUACUAUUGAUGCUAAAAAAGACAAACCUAAAAUAUGUAGACAUUCUGUGUCUUAGGAACACCAUAGUUAUAUGUUUUGGUUUCCUUAUUAAGUUAGAGUUUGUGGCUACAUGUUUCAGUCAGAAAUGGAUCGCGAGCAACGCAAUGACAUUUAUACUGUGAGAAAUCAUAGGACCAACUAAUAAUUCCAUUCUGGUCACAGGAAAAAAAACACCAUGGAAUCCUGCACUUAAAAAUGCAGGAAUCAUAUAGAGACACCAAAGCCCAUAAAACUUUACCUGUUCAUAAAGACUCUUGCCAAUUUCUGCAAACCGGGACAUACAGCGUAUCUAGGUAAUCUGAGACAAGACUCUUGCCAAUUUCUGCAAACCUGGACAUACAGCGUAUCUAGGUAAUCUGAGACAAGACUCUUGCCAAUUUCUGCAAACCUGGACAUACAGCGUAUCUAGGUAAUCUGAGACUGAAUUUUUUUCCUAGGUAACACUCAGCUCACUGGCAAGCUCUCAUAGCUCAUGUGGAAAUUAUCUUUUGGAAGUUCAAAAUUCAUUUGCCUACAAAAAUAAUUAAUAUAUUUAACUUUCCAUGCCAUCUUGUGUAACCAAAUAUAUAGCUCAAAAUGAUGCAUAAGACAUAAAUUCUGAAGCUUUCAGUGUAUAUAUAUAUAUCUCCAAACCUGGGGGCCAAACAUACACUAUCCCUUUCCCAUAUAACCGUUUUAAUUUCCUUGCAAGCUCUAUAGGGUUGGGAACAUAGUAGGUGCUUUAUCUCAUUAUUUUUCAAAACUAAACCAACACUCAAAAAUGUACUGGUUUAAAAUAGCAUCUUCUUAAUUUGAUUGCAGUGUUGUGGUUUGGGCUGGGCUCAGUCUCAGAUUCUGCUUGUUGUUUUCUUUUGUUUUUUUGUUUUUUGUUUUUUGUUUUUUUUUGAGGAUCCUUUUAUGGGUAAAUUCAGUUAUGUCAGAGAUGGACAGAAGAGAGGUUGAGAGGUCAAGCCAACCCUCUAGUCCAUGUAGUCACUGAGUUCUAUUCUCUUUGCUGUUUCUCAUGUGGAAUCUUUCAAGGUGAAGCCAGAUCUCUGACUUGGAGAUUACAGGCUCCUAUGAGAGUGUAUGUGUAGGCUCCCUCUGCCCCCACGUCUGAGGGCUGCUACCCUGUUGCUCUGACAUAUCCUUUUGACACCCACCUCAGUUCUUCAAUCAAGAUCUGAAGGGGGGUUACCAGGAAACUUGUUCACUCUGGGCCACCAAUGGAGCACUCUGUCCCAGGGUGAGUUGGCUGGCUGCCCCAAACCCAGAUGAAUAGGUGCUAAUCUCCUAAUUGCUCGUGCAGGAAAUGAAGCUGGAAGUUUCAUAGUAGGCAAAAGCCAUGAAAGUGUGAAUUAAAUAUUUUUGAGUACACUGGGGAUAUGACUUGAUCAUUUACUCAUUUAUCUGUCUUUGAUUUUUGUUUUGUUUUGUUUUGUUUUGUUUUGUUUUGUUUGUUUUGUUUUGAGACAGUGUCAUAUAUUGUCGCCCAGGAUCUCCUCGAAUUUGCUAUGUCAUCCAAUCUGGCCCCAAAUUGAAAAUUCUUCUUUCUGCCUCACCUUCCUAAGUACUGGGGAUAGAGGCGUGAGUUACCAUGCCUAGCUAAAGUUAGUCUUAAUCUAUAAUUCUUACCAAGGAGAGUUUAACUGAGAUGUUUCACUUCUUGGUGUCAACUCCAGAUGUGUAAUAUUGUAUUGCUUUAUAAAGUAGUACCCCAUACACUUUGAGUAAAUGCACAAAGUACCGGUUUCAACUUCAAAAUUUAUUUUAUUAUUUUUGUGGCUUGAGAUAGAUGUUAAUGAACCUUAAAUAGAAACACACACACACACACACACACACACACACACACACACACACACACACUUGAAGCAUAUCAAACUAGGAGCUGAAAAGGUUAAUAUGUAAUGAUAGUACAAUUACUUGUCAUGUUUUUUUCACAUUGUAAAUAUUAGACUUAAUAGGUUAUAAUAACUAUUAACUUCAGAGUAAAGUGAAAUUCAAAUUGCCCCAAAAGUGAUAUUUCUUCCAGCAUUACCUAUAUAUUAGCAAAAACGUAUUGCUUAGAAUUUAUUGGUUGUGAAGAGCAGGUGUUGACUCUGAUAGCCUGCAUAGUGUUGGACACUUAGAGUAAAAGCAGGCAAACAUCAAUAAAAGACUCUCAGAGUGAGGUUGGUUAUAAAGAGAGUGUAACACAGAGAUACCCUAGAUAUUGAAGAUUUGGGGCAAUGUUGGGGAAGAGAAUUGAGGACCAGUCUUCUUGAAGCAGCUAUUUAACUGAUAUGAACUUCAUUGACUUUCAUCAGUUAUAAAUUUCAUGCUCUCUCUUGCCAUUUUAUACUUUCUAAUCUCCAUUUAUACAAAUGUCUGAAUAUAAUUUCAUAUCAGUCAGGGGCAUUUAAAAUGAGACAUUUCUUAACUGUGUGCAAGUUUCCCACACAGUGCAUGAUAUUGAUUGGUCCUCAGACCAUAAAUGCUUAGAUCCUAUAAAGUCAUUUUGACAACUUAAAGCUCUCUUGUGUGUGGCUUUUCCCACUGAGGAAAUAACUACACAAAGGAAUAUAUGCCUUUUCUUGCACGUGUUGCUAAUAUCCACUUAACAGUGAUGAACUUCACACAUAUAUAUGUAUGCAUUAUAUAUAGUAUGAAUUCAUACUUUAUGUACUUAUUUAACUUUACAAAAUUAAAGAGAUCCUCAUUUUAACAAGUUUUCCCAGCUGUGUUUCUAGUGAUUUCCAAAGGUAAUUGAGAACUCAGUUCUAUAGAAGCAUAUCUAAGUCACACUCAUAGAAAGAUCACAUUUUGACCAUUGGCAGACAUGCUGAUCUAAACCUCAGUGAGUCUUUUAGUCACUGCAGGCUGAUUAGAUGAGGGUAGUAAAAGACAGGCAAUUACAAGUCUUGACCAGAAUAAGGGCAGUUUGAAAUCUCUCUCUCUCUCACACACACACACACACACACACACACACACACACACACACACAUUACUACCAGAAAUAUAAAACAUACAGAUGUUAUUGAAAGCAGUUUGGAAUUUUCUCAAAAGUUAAACUUGGAGACAAAAUAUGACAUGGCAAUUCCACAUCUAGCGAUAUGCUCAAGAGACAACAAAAUACAAGUUCAUGUAAGAUGUGCACUUGAAUAUUGAGAGCACUGUUAUCAUUAUUAGUUAAAGUUAAAGGAUUAAUAUUGGUUUGUGUUGAUUGAUGCAUGUUUCAACAUGGAUAUAUGUUGAAACACUGUGUUAAUAUAAAGAACCCAAAUAUGAAAGGGUGAUAUGGUAUGUAAUUCAGUUUAUAUGCAAUAUUUAGAUAUACAGACAAAACAUAGAUUAGAUGAUCUCAUGGCUAAAGACAAGCAAAUGUGAAAGAACUCUGGUAGAAACAGGGCUUCACUUGGGAAUGCAAAAGCUGCUCUGAAAUCUUUAAGGAUGCUUGUACUAUAUUAUAAAUGUGGUCCAAACACUGAAAGAUACAUGUACAAGGGUGAAUUAGGAUAUAAAAAUUGCAUCUUAACAACGAUCUUUUUAAAAUCACAAAGUCAUAACCAAUUAAAUGCAUGUGCGUUCAUUGAAGUGUAAUGUAUAAUUAUCUCAAACAAAAAAAAUGACCAAAAUACCUCUAAGAAAUGAAAGGUUAAUUAAACUGUCACAUAUCUUUUCAAUGGGAUACUAUGUGGUGAUAAAAAUAACUUAUUAAGAUAUAUAAAAUGUACAUAUUAACAAAUGAAAGAAGUCAUACUGAUAGGCUGCACACUGUAUAUGAUUUUAUUUAUACGACAUUAUGUGAGACAUAACCAUCAGAAUUACUAAAUAAGCCAUGAUUGAUAUUUCCAAGAGAAACCAUAUUUGAAUAAAUAAUUUUAAAUGUUAUCUUAUUUUUAUUUACAUAUAUUUGUAUGUGGAUGUCUUCAGAGAGCACACAAAGUGAUCAGUUUGCAGCUGAAGAUCUAGGUGCUUCUGAGCCACCUGACCUAUGAGCUAAGAACCAAAGUCAGGUCGUCUGCAAGAACAGCAAGCACUUUUAACUACUAAGUGACUGGUUCAAUCUCUUUUAAUGACGAUUCACAGGGGGCAUUUUAGGGUGAGAAAACUACCCUAUAAGAUUGCAAAGUGAUAAAGUUUUAAUAGAUUAUGCAUUUGUCAAAACCUAUAAAACUUCAACACACAAAGAAUAAGCUUUUAUGUAUGCAAAUAAAACCAAAACAAUCCCAGAGAUUCAGAAACCCCAGGGUAGAAUGCAAACUGUGACAAAAGAAGCUAACUGUAUUACAGAAGGGCAUAUUAACCUCAUUGAAGGGAAAAAUGCUAGCUGAAGCAACUUUGGAAAACAGAAUGCAAUGCUAAUGCAAAAGGCACUGCCUCGAAGGAUUAUAGUGUAGCUGUGAAAGUUGUGUUGCAUAAUACAUAGGUUAACAAUUCUGAUUCAGGUAUACAUAGAAUCAAACGAUUAAGUAAAGAGAUAGUGAUCAGUGUUGGGAUGGAUGGUUAUAGAAAAGCAACAUGGUUAAGAUAAUGGAUUGGAGUUGGAGGAAGCUUCAAAACAGACUACUGUUUAUUAGAUAAUUUAAUGUACUUGGUAUAUAUAUAUAUAUGUCAAUACAGAACAUUCCUUGCUUAGUAAGUAUGGGAGGCCUGAAAGAAUGGAAUUCACUUACUAAUAAGUACACUUGGGUAUACAGACAGAAAUUACUAAUGUCAGUUAAAAGAUCUAAGACUCCUUGUAAAUUGCUUAGAAAGGGAACACGCAAUAGCAUCUUGAAGCUCAAUGUAUUCCAAGAAGUAGUUUUACCACACACACACACACACACACACACACACACACACACACAGACAGAGAGAGACAGAGACAGAGAGAGACACAGAGACAGAGAGACAGAGAAACAGAAAGAGACGGAAUGACAGAGAGAGACAAGACAGAAAAAGCAGAGACACAGAGUAAAGACAGACAGACAGAGGAAGAGACAGACAGAAUUAUCCAUUAUGUGAAAAGGACAAAAUGACACAGGAGACUAAAAGGGAUCUCUAAAUCCAAUGCUUAAACAAUUUGAGAAGAACUAUCAAUUAAUAUGUUUUUUUUUAAGCACAAAAUACAAACUUACAUGAGAUCCAUUCUGAUUUAAAUAAUGGACAAAUGGAGGAGGAUUAGCAAAGACUCCAUGUGGAAAAACCACAAGUCCUUUUGCAGUUACUCAGUCCCUCAGCACGGAGCCUAUUUCCGCAGCCUCUGGCAUUUCUGUCUCUGGAAGCCUCCCUCCCUUCUAUCAUAGCUCAGGGCAAGCCCACUCCUGUAUAGGCUUCCAUGACCUAUUCACCUCUCCCUUGAUCACCGUUGAUCUGUCUCUCUUCUAAACAUUGCAUGUGGGAUUUCCGAAGUGAGUUCAAUCUAAAAGCACAGUUCAGGAAAAGAAAGAGAAAUGAGAAGCCCCACGGUAGAGAAAGCUGACUGACACUGUGAGCAAAGCAAUCAAGUUCCCAGUCCACAAUGCAGACUGUCCGUGGCAUUUCCUCUUGAUGUGAAGCUACGAGAAGGGGAGAUGACCCUGGUGGUCUUUUCCUGUCACAGUCCUUAACCUACCUUAAUCACUAGAAUCACACUGACAAUCAGAAUUAACCUUCUCCACAACAGACAAAAUGCUUAUAAAAGCAGUGCUUAAACCCAUGAUUAAAUAAAUGACACAACCCCACCAGCACCCUGUUGAAAAUACCGGGAAUACCUAAGUCUCCUAAUGUUUAAGGUCAAGAAUAAUCAUUGAUAUAUCUGUUUUUUAAGGAGAAUUUGGGCUUUGGCAUCCCAAACCAACAUUGGAUGGUCAGGUUUUGUUAGAUAGUACUACUGACUAGGGUCUCCUUACUGGAUGGUGACCUGGUGACCGGCACAGUGACGUCAGCAGCAAGGUAUGCUGGGCUAUGUUAUUUCUUCCAAUGUGAACCACAAUGUGCAGGCAAAUACACAUAAAUAUAAAACAGUAACACAGAGAGAAAAUCUGCAAUCCAAUAGUAUUUUAACAAAUGCUUCUGCCUUUUGCCCUCUUUCCUCACAAAUUUGCUUUCCCCAAAUCAGCAGAACUACGUCUUCCAUGGGGGCUUAUUAAAAGACAACACUGGUUUGCUAGCUUCCCAUCACAAUUAUGUAAAAGCCCCCUUAUAAAAGGAAGGGCUUAGUUUGGUUUACAAUACAAAGUCCAAGAUACAAUGGCCUCAUUGCUUUGAGUGAGUGAGCACAAGAGGCUGAGAGUAACUGCUCACCUCAUGGCCAGAGAGCAAGAGAACAUAGAGGAGAUAAGUUCGGACAGUCUUUUCAAGGGUAGUGUCAUGAGGAGAUCCCAGUCAGUCCCAUCUGGUCAAGUUUCUACCACCUCCUAACAUCCUCAAGCUGAGAACAAAGUCUCUAACAGACACACUGGCUUCUGAAUGACGUAUUCUAGCAAAACUUGCUCAACUGAUUGGAAACAUCAAUCAAAUUUCGGCUUCUUCAUUUUUCAAAGCCUAGAUUAUAUGGCACAUGUAGGAGACAGGGUGCUGGUGAGUUUUACACUUCCUAUCAUUUCCACCAAAAACUAGAGCUUAGCGUGUUUUAUCUUCUCCCCUCAGUCUCCUUUGGCAUAUUCUCCGUGUGGCUGUGGAAUGAAGCAAGACUAUGUGUUUGGUCUAGUUCACAAGGAGCUUAGAGGUUGCAGGGGACUUGGAAAUAGAAGAAAUAGAAUGGAAGAAAUAGUCUUGUUUUGGAAAUAGAAGCUUUCUAUGACAGCAAAAGUGGACCAGUAAACAGGAUGGAUAAUGCUCUCAUCACUCAUCUACCUUCCUUGAAAUGGCAGUUUCUGCUGGCUUUGCCCUCCUUCCAGAGACAUUGGGCCUUUCUCAGCAGCCCAGUACUAGAAGAACUCUGCAUGAAAAACAGAAGUGGCAAAAGAGUCAAUGAUAUUUCACUCUCACCUUUCAAUUGAUGAGGAAAUCAAAAUUUAUUUUUUUCCAUUGUAAAGCAGAGUUACAUUUUGAUGGACUUAACACCAAUGUAGAGCUAAGAGUUGGGGACUUGCUCAGAGAGUACAGAUACUGGCUGCCAAACCUGACCUUCAUUUGAUACCCAGAGCCCAUGUGGCUCAAGAGGAAAAUUGAAGAACUGAAUCACUAUCAGCUAUCCUCUGACCUAUACACGUAUUUUACACAUUGAUACACAUGUGUAUGGACACUCACGGACACCCAUAAAUGUAAUUAAUAUAAACACUUAAAUAAAAGGUCUUUAUUGAGCUUCCAAAUAUGAAAGAACUAUUAAAUAUACAGCUGGAUGCAUUAUAUUAAAGGAGGACACUGAGAAUUGUCUGUGUGAAAUUGUCCAUGCCUUACUAUUUCAUCUCUAUUAUCACCCCUUGGGUAUCACCCCACCCUGGGAUAUCUAGCCCCAGCAGGACUAAGCACCUCCUCUCUCACUGAAACCCAACCAGGCAGUUCAGAUAAGGGAAGGGGAUCCAAUGACAGGCAACAGAAUCAGUCAGUCCCCGAUCCUGUUCUAAUUGUUAGGGACCCACAUGAAGACCAAGCUGCACAUCUACUACAAAUGGGGACCUAGGUCCAGCCCCUGCAUGCUCUGCUGGUUGGUGGCUCAGUCUCUCUGAGCCCCCCAUCCCCCCAUGGGUCUAGGUUAGUUGAUUCUGCAGGUCUUUUUGUUGUAUCUUUGACUGGUUUGCUCAAUUCUGUUUCCCACUUUUCCAUAUGACUCUCAAGCCUUCUGCCUGAUGUUUGUCUUUGGGUCUCUGCAUCUGUUUCCAUCAGCUGCUGGAUGAAUCCCCCCCCCCAGGAGACAGUUAUGGUAUGUUCCUGUCUGCAAACAUAGCAGUUUCAUUAAUAGUGUCAGUAUUUGGCACUCUCCCAUGAAAUGGGUCUCAAGGUAGGCCAAUCUUUGGAUGACCGUUCUCUGGUUUCUCCUCCAUCUUUAUCCCUGUGUAUCUUGUAGGAGGCAGUCACAUUUUGAGUUGAAGGUUUUGUAGGUGGGUUGAUGCUCCCCUCCUUCAACCUGUCUGGCUAUAGGAAGUGGCCAUUUCAGUCUCUGUAUACCCACUGGUAGGAAUAUCAACUAGAGUCACCUUCAUAGGCUCUCCAUAGCCUCUCUUGUCUCAGAUCUCCAGCUGGUCCCAGAGUUGCUCCCCACCAAUUAAGUUCUGCAUCUUGAUAACCUGCUUUAAUACCUGAGAAAAUGACAUGCUAACAUUUAAACACCAAAAGCAUCUGACAUUUGGCAGCCUAGAUCUCUGAGUACUUUAGAUCUUUGCCAGUCCCAAUGGGAUAUAUCACAUGAAACAGACAUAAAUAAAUGUGCCUGGGUAUUAAGCCUUUGAAAUAUGUGCAGUAAUUUGUUACUACAGAAGUAGUAGUUUAUACAUGUAAAGAUAGUACAGAAAGCACACAAUUAAGUCCCAGAUGCCAGGAAAGCAAGAGCCUCCCAGGACCCCACGGAAAUGACAUCAGCUAAUAUACCCCACAAAGAGGAGGGAGAACCUGGUAUCACCAUAUGGAGAGGUUAGGCAUGGCCCCAGGUUGAGAGAUGGGGCCACUCACCCACCUCCAAGAUUUUAACCCUGAAUUGCUCCUGUUUAAAGGAAAUAUAGGGACAAAGAGUGGAGCAGAAAGUGAAGGAAAGGCCAUCUAGUGACUGCUCCAUCUGGGGAUCCAUCCCACAUGCACACACCAAACCCAGACAUUAUUGCUUAUGCCAAGAAGUGCUUGCUGACAGGAGCCUGACACAGCUGUCUCCUGAGUGGGCUCUACCAGAUCCUGACCAAUAGAGAUGAAGAUGCUUGCAGCCAAUCAUCAGACUGAGCACAGGGACCUCAAUGGAGGAGUUAGGGGAAGGACUGAAGGAGCAGAAGGUGCCUUAUCUGGCAUCAAUGGGAGGGGAGGCUCUAGGUCUGUCAGUGAAGGCUUAAUGCCUCAGUGUAGAGGAAUGCUAGGGCAGU
rnacentral:lncRNA from 1 species